rnacentral:rRNA from 1 species
UGGGGAAUAUUGCACAAUGGGGGGAACCCUGAUGCAGCGACGCCGCGUGAGCGAUGAAGGAAUUCGUUUCGUAAAGCUCUGUCCUUGGAGAAGAUAAUGACGGUAACCAAGGAGGAAGCACCGGCUAAAUACGUGCCAGCAGCCGCGGUAAUACGUAUGGUGCGAGCGUUGUCCGGAAUUAUUGGGCGUAAAGCGAGCGCAGGCGGUCAAUUAAGUCUGAUGUGAAAGCCCCCGGCUCAACCGGGGAGGGUCAUUGGAAACUGGUUGACUUGAGUGCAGAAGAGGAGAGUGGAAUUCCAUGUGUAGCGGUGAAAUGCGUAGAUAUAUGGAGGAACACCAGUGGCGAAGGCGACUCUCUGGUCUGUAACUGACGCUGAGGUUCGAAAGCGUGGGUAGCAAACAGG